rnacentral:rRNA from 1 species
AUUACCGCGGCUGCUGGCACGGAGUUAGCCGGUGCUUAUUCCUAGGGUACCGUCAAGUGCUUAAAAAUGAGCUUUUUUCGUCCCCUAUAAAAGAAGUUUACAACCCAGAGGGCCUUCAUCCUUCACGCGGCAUGGCUGGUUCAGACUUUCGUCCAUUGACCAAUAUUCCUUACUGCUGCCUCCCGUAGG